rnacentral:rRNA from 1 species
CAGCCGCCGCGGUAAUACCGGCGGCCCGAGUGGCGGUCACUAUUAUUGGGCUUAAAGCGUCCGUAGCCGGGUUGGGAAGUCCUCCGGGAAAUCUGGCCGCUUAACGGUCAGAAUGCCGGAGGAUACUCCCAGCCUAGGGAGCGGGAGAGGCCGAGGGGCUUCCCGGGGUAGGGGUGAAAUCCUAUAAUCCCGGGAGGACCACCUGUGGCGAAGGCGCUCGGCUGGAACGCGUCCGACGGUGAGGGACGAAGGCCAGGGGAGCAAACCGGAUUAGAUACCCGGGUAGUCCUGGCUGUAAACGAUGCGGACUUUGUGUCGGACAAGCUAUGAGCUUGUCCGGUGCCGGAGGGAAACCGUUAAGUCCGCCGCCUGGGGAGUACGGCCGCAAGGCUGAAACUUAAAGGAAUUGGCGGG